UACGUAGGGGGCAAGCGUUGUCCGGAAUCAUUGGGCGUAAAGCGCGUGUAGGCGGGUCGGUAAGUCCGCUCUGAAAGCCCGGGGCUCAACCCCGGGAGGCGGGUGGAUACUGUCGACCUCGAGUCCGGAAGAGGCGAGUGGAAUUCCUGGUGUAGCGGUGAAAUGCGCAGAUAUCAGGAGGAACACCAAUGGCGAAGGCAGCACUCUGGUACGUGACUGACGCUGAGACGCGAAAGCGUGGGGAGCAAACAGG
rnacentral:rRNA from 1 species